rnacentral:rRNA from 1 species
GACAGGCAGUGCAGACGUUAUUCCGCUUUAUUGGGCGUAAAGGGUAUGUAGGUGGAUCUUAAAAACGAAGGGUAACAAACUAGAGCAUACUUUUAGAAUAACCCCUUUCAGAUUACAGAUCUUGAGUUAGUUAGACGUUUGGAGAAGCUCUUAUGUAAAAGUCAAAUUUUCCAAUAUUAGACCGAAGACCAACGGCGAAGGCACCGGGCGAUAAUUAACUGACACUGAGGUACGAAAGCUUGGGGCGCAAACAGG